UUGCGGAAAACACGCGAACGUGCGCGCGGGAGUCAAUGCUUUCUCUUCCUUCUGGUAGCUGAACGGUCGUAUCGUUUUACGUUUGAAUGAUGUAACCACCUGUCGAGAGCUCAUCGUCUGAACAGGUUGAGGAUUUUACAUUUCUAUUUAUGCUCCGUGGAGUCAAGAACGACUGGUCUGUAUACAUUCAAAUAAUCACCCUCCCCUUCUUCGGACUGCACUCUUAGCGUGUGUGUCUGUGUGCGAGGAUAUUGACUUUCUCGCGUUCGCCCGUGCAACACUUGAAAUCAACAGUGACGGCUCAAUACAGUGCAAAGGGAAAUAUCGUCAACGAGAGCAAAUCUGUGGAGUUCCACAGAAGUGGGGAGUGAAACUGCAUUUUCCACCUCAGAUUUUUCAACCAUGGCUGCGAAACUCAACCCUAAUGUCCUGUACGUUCGGGAACCCAGAGAGUCUCGCCCAGGACAUGAUACAGACCGACUAGCACCGGCAGAAGCUGCCGAUGAAUCAUCUGACAGUGAUGGGGAACAGGAGGAAACCUCACACAAGCUCAUCAGAAAAGUGUCCACCUCUGGGCAAAUUCGUGCAAAGAGAAGUGUGAAGGAGGGACUCCUGCUCAAACAGACCAGCUCCUUCCAAAGAUGGAAGAGGAGGUACUUCAAGCUUCGAGGACGGACUUUGUACUACGCCAAAGACUCCAAGUCUCUAAUAUUUGACGAGGUAGACCUCUCAGAUGCCAGCAUGGCGGAAACCAGCACCAAGAACAUCAACAACAGCUUCACGGUCAUCACCCCUUUCAGGAAGUUGAUGUUGUGUGCUGAGAGCAGGAAGGAGAUGGAAGACUGGAUCAGCGCUCUGAAGUCUGUGCAGAAGUGGGAGAGUUACGAGUUCAACAUGGAGCACUUCUCCGGGAUGCACAACUGGUACGCCUGCUCUCACGCCCGCCCCACCUUCUGCAACGUGUGCCGAGAGGCUCUGCCGGGGGUCACCUCUCACGGCCUGUCUUGUGAAGUCUGCAAGUUCAAGGCCCACAAGCGCUGUGCUGUGCGGUCUACCAACAACUGCAAGUGGACCACGCUGGCAUCAAUCGGGAACGACAUAAUCGAGGAUGAGGAGGGGGUUUCCAUGCCGCACCAGUGGAUGGAGGGAAACCUUCCCGUGAGCGCCAAGUGCAGGGUGUGCGACCGCAACUGCGGCAGCGUGAGGCGGCUCCAGGACUGGCGUUGUCUCUGGUGCAGGGUCAUCGUACACAACAGCUGUAAGGAACACAUGGGGAAGCGCUGUCCCUUAGGCCAGUUCAAGGUCUCCAUAAUCGCUCCCCCUGCACUCAACAGCAUUGACUCUGAUGGGUUCUGGAAAGCUGCUAACCCGCCCUGCUCCAGCCCACUGCUGGUUCUGGUCAAUUCCAAGAGUGGGGAUAACCAAGGGGUCAAGUUCCUGCGCAAGUUCAAGCAGCUGCUGAAUCCGGCCCAGGUGUUCGACCUGAUGAAUGGCGGUCCGCAGCAGGGGCUGCGUCUCUUCCAGAAGUUUGCGAUGUUCCGGAUUCUGGUGUGUGGUGGGGAUGGCAGUGUCGGCUGGGUGCUGUCAGAGCUGGACAAACUUGGGCUGCACAAGCAGUGCCAGUUGGGUGUUCUUCCUCUGGGCACUGGGAAUGACCUGGCGCGGGUACUGGGCUGGGGAGGGCUCUGUGACGAUGAUGCCCAGAUACUGCAGAUCCUGGAGAAACUGGAGAGAGCCACUACUAAGAUGCUGGACAGGUGGAGCGUGAUGACAUACGAAGUUCCCACAAAACACUCCCCUCCAGUGGUGAAGGUGGAUGACACAGGGGAUGGCAGUCUCCAGAUACAGAUGGCCCUGUAUGCUGAUUCUGUGGCCUCCCACCUGACCAAGAUUCUGGACUCAGACAAGCAUAGUGAUGUCAUCUCCUCAGCUAAGUAUUUGUGUGGGACAGUGAAUGACUUUGUGUCAGAGGUGGGGAGGACAUACGAGAGAUCAACGGAGAACAGGGAGGAGGCUGCAAUCAUGUCUAAGAAGUGCGCUACGCUGAAUGAGAAGCUGGACUCUCUGGUGAAGGCUCUGGGCGAGGAGUCCGAUGCCCAGCUGGUGCCCGCGGGCACCCAGCCACCGCGCGAGGGGGGCCAGCCCGAGCCUCUCAGCAUCCCGCGGGCCUUUAAGUCCAAAGAGCAGCUGAUGCUGAGGGCCAACAGCCUGAAGAAGGCCGUGCGGCAGAUCAUAGAGCAGGCCGAGAAAGUGGUGGAUGAACAGAACAGGCACACUCAAGUGUACCACAUGGCCUCCACCUCCUCAAUGAAGAUGGAGAACAAUGAGGACCUGAAGGAGGCAGACACAGGACAUGGAACCACAAGCUCCUCCACCUCCACCAUUGUCCUGCAGAAAUCAGAAAGCUUCGGCUCUGUGCUGCUCUCCGAUGACUCUGUACUGUGCACUGAAAAGUGUGUUAUGAACAAUUACUUUGGGAUUGGACUGGAUGCAAAGAUCUCCCUGGAGUUCAACAACAAGAGAGAUGUGCACCCCAAGAAGUGCAGCAGUCGCACCAAGAACAUGAUGUGGUACGGGGUGCUGGGGACCAAAGAGCUGGUGCAGAAGACGUAUAAGAACCUGGAGCAGCGGGUGCACCUGGAGUGUGACAGCGUGCCUAUGUGUCUGCCAAGCCUGCAGGGUUUGGCCGUUCUCAACAUCCCCAGCUAUGCAGGGGGCAUCAACUUCUGGGGCGGGACCAAGGAGGACAACAAUUUCGGGGCUCCCUCCUUCGAUGACAAAAAGCUGGAGGUGGUGGCGGUCUUCGGCAGCAUGCAGAUGGCGAUGUCCCGCGUCAUCAAUCUGCAGCACCACCGAAUCGCCCAGUGCCGGCAGGUGAAAAUCACCAUCCUGGGGGAGGAGGGCGUACCCGUGCAGGUGGACGGCGAGGCCUGGAUCCAGCCACCCGGAAUCGUCAAGAUCGUCCACAAGAACCGGGCCCAGAUGCUCACCAGAGACCGGGCCUUCGAGAGCACGCUGAAGUCGUGGGAAGACAAGAGGAAGUGCGACAGCUACCGCUCCUCCCGUCCGCGCCUCAACUCCCAGCAGUCCAUGGAGUACCUGACGGAGGAGGAGGGCGUCCAGGUGAAGCAGCUGGGGCAGGCGGCCGACGCACUGAUCGCCAGAAUCAGGGAAGCAGCAAAGACCCACAUGGUAAUGGAGCAGGAGCUGGCCCAUGCGGUCAACGCCAGCGCACUGAUCCUGAGCGAGGCCUUCUCCAGCAAACCUACCAGUCCUGAGUAUCUGAGUCGGACUGCUGUUGUGGACAUUGUCAAUAGCACCAAGGUUCUACAGCAGGAGACCAGAAUACUUUUAGAUGGGAAGCUUCUGCAGCUGGAGCCCCCCCAGGAGGAGGCGCUGCUCUCUGCUCUGAAUAGCCUGAGCGCCGAGCUGCAGAGGCUGGGAGAAAUCCACUGGAUCUGCCCCAUCAUACACUGCUCCGAAGAGGAGGAGCUUUCCAAGGGCAACCGUAAGAGCAGCAUAAAGAUGAAGAUCAUGCAGAAAAGCAAGAAGGAGCGAGAGAAGCUGCACAAGCAGAAAUCCAACAGUUCCUUGUCCUCUCUGUCGGGUAAGGGAACCAUUCCUCUGUUUAUCUAACAGUGAGCGGUGCCAGAGUUACAAUACAGACAGAGCAGCAAUCACAAGAUUCCUUCUCUUCCACAUAAGCCGUUUCCUUCUGAAUGUACUAGUGAAUUUACUGCGAAUCAUUAAAAUCCACCACUUUAUGCGCAUAGAUAGCAUGCACCAGGACAGGUGUUUCUGAAUCACCUUUUCUCUGGAAAAGUGGUAUGGAGUGAUUUGAGCAGGCUCCACACAGUACAGCCGGUGUACUGAAUGGUUGAUUUCUCUAGUGCAGCUCAAGUGCACAAUAUGGUUUGUUUCCAUUUACUUUUGUUUGCCUGUAAACAAGCUAUUUUUGUAUUUUCUCAAACUCAUUAAAACACUUUACUUGUAUAAUGUAAAUUGUCCAUUAUGGCCCAAAAAUGGUCUUUAGAGCAUUUACACAACAUUAGAAAUAGGCAUUCUAGAAUUGCAUAAAUCAACACAAAUCAAAAUAUAACAAAAAAUUUAAAGUGCUUUUGCUUUACAACAGAAGCAUAAGAAACAGCCUCAUUAGAUCCGCAUCACAUAGCUUCCUGUUACAGUUUAACUUUAGAAUCAUAUAUAGCUUCCUGUUACUGGUUGACCUCAAAAGGCCCUUCUCCUGAAAGAGUACUGCUCAGAGUUAUGCUGCUGUUUCUCUUCUAUGCUAUACAACUGGAUGAACUAAGGACCAGGACCUUGGGAUUUCAAAGGUGGGGCAUCUGAAGCGAAUUCAACAGGCCAUUAAGGAACUGAGCUCAGAGCCCUAAUGUCACCUGCCGAGUUGGCGUUCACCUGUGAGGAGCAUCUGGGCCUGUAUCUCCGCCCCUUUCUCAGACAGGAAGCAGCUCCUGGUGGACUGAACAUGAACAGCGGAACCUCUUUCCCUCUUUGUCUUUUGUUGCUCAUAUUUCCUCCGCCUUCAGAGAUGUGGCACGUGUUCAAAGCCAAUGGCGAUGGUGCAGGGGGGUCUCAGUCUUCGGUAAUUUUAAUCUUAGCUCCAGCUUUACGGCCGCCUGCAAGAACAUAAGAUGACAGACUAGACUUUUAUUGAGCGGUUUUGAACAAAAAGAAACAAGUCUGAAUGUAAAAGGACAGCUCGCCUUUUCCCAUAACCACAAAAUCAAUACGUAGAAACCCGUUUGUACAUACAGACCUUCAGAAAAGGCAAGCAACAAUGCCUUUAUAAACAGCAUCUUGAGGAGCGUACUUGCUGGUAAUGUGUUCUUUUUUGUAUAAAUGGCCUUACGGCAAACAAAUUCCAUCCAGCUACUUAUUGAGGCCCCCUUUGACAUUACGCGAUGCAUGGCUUCUCUGCUCAGUGGCGUCACAGCAGAAACGGGUUUUAUGUAUUUGCUCAGGCAGGUAGUAGUCUCAAAUGUAUAACUAGUGUCCUAGAAGAGCUCUUGAUAAGUGCUUUGUGCUUGUGCCAAUGUUGUGCUAAGCACAGUGGACUAUGAUACUGGAAGAAUGUAUGUUUUGCGUUUAAGUUGUACUAUGUUGCACUUUAAGACUUAAAAAGGUUCAUAUAAAUUUAUAGAAAAACUCUAUUAUUACAUUUCUUCAUUAUUGCUUCUUUAUGGGAAGUAUAUAAAGGAUACACAAUGCGUUUAAUCAAAAUAUAACAUUCAGAGGUACUAAUGUGCUACUAUUUUAUUUUUAACUUGAAGAAUCUUCUAUAGUUUAUGAUGAGCAUAAAAUAGUCAGAAGCUGGUGUGAUAUUAAUAAUGGCUGUGUUCUGCCAUUAAAGUCAACCAAACGUACUGUGAUGCGAUCAGGUCUAAACAUCAAAAGAAAAUAAUGUAAGACACAAAAUGAUGUAUUUAAGGAUUUUAUGAGCCAAAGUGAAACUGACGUAGUGCAUGAGGUAACGAAUUGGUACAUUCCAGUUGCAUAUAUUACAAUGUAAGUCAUGACAUUCCUUAAAAAAACAACAAAAAACAAACAAAAAACAUUGUACAAAGCUAUUGGGGCUGGUGUAGGAUUGAUAAAGUAACAAUGAAUGACCUCACACUGUUUUAUAUGUUCCCAAAGAAAUUAUUGUAUGAAAUAAAAAUGUAUAAAAUAAAUUGGCCUUUGUCAGGUAUAACUAAAUGGCCUUUGUCUGGCCAAAACUAUGUGGACACCUGACACAAAAAUUAUGGGCAUUAAUAUGGAGUUGAUCCACCCUUUGCUGCUAUAACAACCACCACAUUUUCUUAUACUAGAUGUUGGAGCAUUGCUGCAGGGAUUUGCUUCCAUUCAGCCAGAAAAGCAUUAGUGGGAUCCGGCACUGAUUGGGCGAUUAGGCCUGACUCGCAUGUGGCUUUCCAAGAGUGUUGGAUGCGGUUGAGGUCAGGGCUCUGUGCAAGCCAGUCAAGUUCUUCCACACCAUUGUUGACAAAAUCACUUCAAUGUGGACCUCGCUGUGUGCCUGGGGGGCAUUGCAUUGCUGAAACAGGAAAGGCCGUUCCCCAGACUAUUGGGGAAACACAGAAUCAUUUAGAACAUGAUUGUAUGCUGUAGCAUUAAGAUUUGUCUUCACUGGAACGAAGGAGCUUAGCCCAAAUCAUGACUAAACAGCCCCAGACCAAGGGGUGUCCAGAUACUUAUGGUCAUGUGGUGUAGCUAUAUCUGACAAAGACCAUUGUAUGUCAAAAUGUGGUUGACUCCAAUGCUUUUUUUUAACAGUUUGUAAAACGGUACGUGGGAAUUCCUUUCCUCCUUACAAUUCCUUACAGAUUUAGCAUAUUAAAGCCCUGUUAUUUUUGUUUUUAUCAUUGUGUUUAACUGGAAAGAUUUUGGGAUAAAUUUCACCAGCAGAGGUAUACUUGUGACAAUCGCAAUUACCUUUAAUCCAACACUGAUGCAACAUUCAUGUAGAAAUGGGGAAAAAAAGGAAAGUCCUUUUGUAUAUUAAAACACAAGUAAUGCGAAAAUAGUGGGGCUUACACAAUUCUCAGAACGGUGUUGAAUAAUACACAUAUUCAAUUGUCAAAUACUUACUGCCAUUUCAGUUAAUGUAUUACACAGUUUACCAAGGUGGAAUGUAUUUUUUAAAUUUCAAUGUUGUCAUUACUGGUCUUUUCUGGUAUUGAAGAAUAACAGGAACUCUUCAUAUUCUUUAAAUCUUCAAUAUGAGAUCACCAGUUACACUGUAAAAGUCUUGUUGACUGGAGGUUUGACUGGGUUUGCAAAAUCAGGAAGCUUGCUGUGGCUAAAGAAAUGUCUCAAACGCUGUUGAUGUUCUAUGUUGAAUAUUAUUUACAGGUGUUGAAAAAAUACUUUGCAGGAUUAAUAUUUAUUUAUGAAUGUACUUUUGGAAUUCUCUUUGAGAAACAUUCAGAAUGCUCAUUGUUAUUUUUCUGUUUAACAAGACAAUAUCCACUGCAGAACCCAAUGAAAACAAAGUAAAAAAUAAAGUGUUGGAAUUUUUUUUUUCAGAUGGCUUUACACUACGGUGAAUAACAUCAACUGCACAAACAUUACUAGGAAAAUGGUGCAGUAAACACAAAAACAUCCACAUCUGCCCCCUGAAGAAUGUUUCUGAUCAGUCAGACGAGUGUUUCCUUAUUAUGGUGAGAAUUCUUCAGUCAUAAACUGUAGAGUUCUUCCUUAGCCUAGCAGGCCCAAUAACUCACCAGACCCAAACGGUUGAUUUUGGUAGGCCUUUAGGUUUGGCCCAAGUGUCUCACUGUUUUUUUUCUUCAUAUUUCUCAGCCUCAUAAUGGCAUCCUUGACUUUCAGUGGUACAACUCUGUUUUUGGCGUUAGUCAGCAUAAGGACCAGACUUCAGAGGUAAUCAAAAGCCUAGUUUCAAGACUAGAUACUGAAUAUUAAGGAAUCCAGUUAAUUCCUGUUCACUAAAACCAUAAAGCAGCUAAGAGAUGUUCGAAAGUAUACUGACAAAUUAUUAGGUACCUUUAAUGUAUCCUUUAUUCAUUUGGUUAAUCUCUUAUUAAAAGUCUUUGGUAAUACACCCACAAUGGUAUGAGCAUGAUGGUACAGGGUUGUUAAAAACACUGAAGUACAUUGGACAUGGAUAUGAUCACGUCCAUUCACUAUGUAGUUCAAACCGUACUGUUAUAUAUAUAUUUUCCGUCUCAAUCACUUAACCUGGGAAUGUGGUCGAAAACAGAAAUACAUUCUUGGAUAUGAGUUACCCUUGUAUGCUCUUCUCAUAGGGAUCAUUACUGUAUUGGUUAUGAUUGUCUGCACUCAUUUUAUACUGAACAAUGAUUUGGAUAAACUGACUAGUCUUUCUGUUCUGGCCAUGACAGCUUUUUUCCUUCCUCCUCUUUCAUGUUUCAGCAUUGAAGUUAAUUUUCCUCACAAUACUGAAAAAAUGGCAUCUUCCCUUCCCAUCACAACGAUUUUCUUUUUUUAAAUUAUUAAUGCAAUGGUAAUAAACAGAAAAUUACUCACCAGUACAUGGAA